rnacentral:rRNA from 1 species
GACGAACGCUGGCGGCGUGCCUAACACAUGCAAGUCGAACGGGGUAAUUUCUUCGGAGAUUACUUAGUGGCGAACGGGUGAGUAACGCGUGAGAAACCUGCCUUUCAGUGGGGGACAACAGUUGGAGACGACUGCUAAUACCGCAUAAUGUCAUUUGGGGGCAUCCCUGAAUGACCAAAGAUUUAUUGCUGAAAGAUGGUCUCGCGUCUGAUUAGUUAGUUGGUGAGGUAACGGCUCACCAAGGCGACGAUCAGUAGCCGGUCUGAGAGGAUGAACGGCCACAUUGGGACUGAGAUACGGCCCAGACUCCUACGGGAGGCAGCAGUGGGGAAUAUGGGGCAAUGGGGGAAACCCUGACCCAGCAACGCCGCGUGAAGGAAGAAGGCCUUCGGGUUGUAAACUUCUUUUACCAGGGACGAACAAAUGACGGUACCCGGAGAAAAAGCAACGGCUAACUACGUGCCAGCCGCCGCCGUAAAAC